CGGUUGUGCGUUUAAAUGGGUGUGGUGCUAAGUAUAUCUUGUUUACCUUAUCUUUCUUUGGAAAACGUUUUGAAGUCUGGUUGGAUUUGUCACAUCAUGCCUGUUGCCUAGCACUGCCACAGAUGUCCUUAUCUCACAACAAAAGACUGCAUAGGUGGAGGUUAAUGCUCAGG
rfam:Echinops telfairi cont1.523265, whole genome shotgun sequence.